ensembl:lncRNA
CUCCUACCCUCCAGGCUAGUGGGGUAGACAGCCAAGCGAACAGAGGAGUCAAAAGAUGACACACAGGAAGCUAUAUGGAGUAAGGUGCUGAGGCUGAAGAGGGCUGCGUUAGAGGGAGAGGUGUGCGCUGGGGUGGGACGGCCUUCCUCCCCCAGGUGGAGAUUACAGCAGCGGAUGCCAGCUGGCCUUUCUUUUUGGUGAGGAAGAUUGUCGCUGAGCUGACAUCUGUGCCAAUCUUCCUCUAUUUAUGUGGGACGCUGCCACAGCGUGGCUUGAUGAGUGGUGCAGGUCCACGCCCAGGAUCCAAACCCAGGAACCCUGGGCCAGAGAAGUGGAGCAGGCCGAACUUAACCACUGUGCCACCAGGCAGCCCCUGGCCUUACCUGACAGUAGGAAACAGCUGGUCAGAUGUGGGUAGGCUAUGUGCGGUGGAUCCUGCUGACUCUCCAUCUGAGAUACACCAACUGGCCUUUGUCAUCACCUGAAACACUUCCUUCACUGCAAGCCCAUCUUACCUGAAUCCUGGGAUGCUUGAAGGGCUGCAGGGAAGAACUGGCCAGGUGAAGAGGCCAGUCGCUUUGUCAUGCCUUGUCCAGAGGUCCUGGAGCAGGUCUCUUCUCUAAGGUCCAAGCACUCCGCCCACACAUUCCACUUCUCCGUCAUUUCUAGGGAGUCUCUGUUCCCAGGGGCCACAGGGGGCCAAGAGCAGCUCUGUCCACCAUAGGCACUGUGGGCCUGGAGCAGGUGGCAGCAAUGGGCCACCACCUGAGGGCUUUCACCUGGAAGGAAGGGAGCUCGACUCUGAAUCCAGGUCCUUAGUCCAGGGAUACAGAUUAAGAGCCACCCUUCUCUGCCUCAGCUUUCCUCCUGCUGUCACUUUGCAGAAUCCCCCAUCCUGCCUCCCCUAGGAGAGCUUCCUGAGCAAGAUCCAGUAUCCCUCAGCCCCACCUUGACUAGCAAACUGGAGGCCCUCCCUGGCAGCGUGACACAACUGUCCUCUGUGCUGGGAUAAGUGCCUUAUGUGUUUAACUGUGUGCCCUCAACGUGCGUGCCUGUGUCCCUGCCCGGCUGGAGCCGUGGUAGACGUCAUCCUCCCCCCAUGAAUCCUGGCUUGCUCCACACCUGGCUGUCGGCCCCCAGGACUUGGCCUACUUUCUUCCUGGCUCUGCGGGAGAGGGAAGGAAGCAGUCGCAGGCAUGACUGCCAUUGUUCCUCGGCUCCUCUCAAUCUGCCCAAAAGUUUCCUCAUAGAGCAGAGGUGGAAGAUUAGCCCUGAGCUGACAUCUGCUGCAAUCCUCCUCUUUUUGCUGAAGAAGACUGGCCCUGAGCUAAUGUCCGUGCCCAUCUUCCUCUAAGGCAUGGCAGCCAAGAGAUUUUAAGGCAAAAAGCAAGCCAUAAACUAUCUGUGGUUAAUCGAUCGUGGCCCCAAACACAAGCAAGGGCUGCAUGCAAUGACUUCUGGGGAUCUCUUCCAGCCUAAAGGUUCCUGGAAUGCACUUUAGUGUUGGCCUACUGGCAGGCUUUUUAGACUACAACUGUGAUGUCUCCUGCUAUUGAGAACCCUGGGAACAGCUCAGCUCCGUGGUCCAGCCAUAUAAAUCUGAUAAAAAUAGGAGCUGAAAUACCAUCCUGGAGUUGCUAUUUUUAAAAGCGUCUGAGAUGCUGGAUUGGGUUUAUUUCUUCCUCAAACGGCAUCUUGCUGUUCCCUCCUCCCGGUGGGCAGGAUGCUAACGUGGCACUUGUGAGGGACAGGAGCCAGAAGCCGGUGAGGCACAUUUGUCAAGGGGCCCUGUGCCUCCUCCCCACAACCACUGCCUGCCAGGAGGAGCUGUGGGGCCGAGGCUUCCCAGCUGGAGAGGCACCUGCUCCUCCAAGCCUGCCCUUCGCUCCUGUCUUCUCCAUCUGCUCCUGGGUGCCUCUGGUUGUCUCAGCAGAGA